rnacentral:lncRNA from 1 species
UGACUAAUAUAAACGUGGGAUUGCAAACACACAUAUAUAGAAACUGGGACCUUGAAUACGUGAUAGCAUGACCUGUAAGAUAAUACAUGGUUUAAUGAUAAUUGUCUUGACUGAUACUGAAACUGAUAACAUGAACGACUGUAUCUGACAGUCCUCUAUAUACUGAAAUCUGAAGAACGCCCUGAGUUCUUUUACUGAGACUGAUACUGAAACUGUGGGAAGUAGUGUUUAACCGACAUGC